rnacentral:misc_RNA from 1 species
GAUGAAGAACGUAGCGAAAUGCGACAAGUAAUGCGAAUUGCAGAAUUUCCGUGAGUCAUCGAAUCUUUGAACGCACAUUGCGCCCACUGGUAUUCCGGUGGGCAUGCCUGUUCGAGCGUCAUUAUCCUCCCUCAAACCUCGGGUUUGGUGUUGGACCCAAGUUGUGUGAACAACUGGUCUUAAAGACAAUGACGGCGUCCGUGGGACCCUCGGUGCAACGAGCUUUUAGGAGCACGCGUCGAGUUUCAAGGACCUUCCGGGCCGGUCUCCUUUACCAUUUUACAAGGUUGACCUCGGAUCAGGUAGGAAUACCCGCUGAACUUAAGCAUAUCAAUAAGCGGAGGA